CCAAGUCAAAGGUGGGAGCUGAGACUUGGCAGUACCUCCACGCCCUGAGUGCCUGUGUGGUGGUGUUGCUUAGAGACCCAGGCAGGCGGGAGCCAACUUCUCCUCUGUGGUGGCCACACAUUGACUGUGGGGCUCGUUGUAACUCUAGGCACUGUUUGGGGAUGGAAAACAGCCUGAGUCCCAGGAUGGAAAAACAAACACUGUUUUGGUGUCCAGACUCCUCUCUGUUGUCUUCGGCCUUGAGAAAGGAAGCCAGGCUAUGUGACCCAUGCCUUGCCACAACGACCACACUCUCUAGCAGUCCUCCUCUGCAUGGAGCUUCUCUCUCUUGCCAGACUGGCUGUGUCUACCUUCAAUCACUUAACACAAUCACAGUUCACCCUGUGAUGGAGGAGUACCAGUACAUCCCAGAAAGACCAUACACUCUGUGACUCCUUCAUUGGGUGAUGAGUACCUGAGCUCACUCCCCAGUUGGACACUGUUAUGAACAAUGAAAAAAUGCUUCAAGGAACAUACCUGUUCAAACUCCUGUGUGAACAUACACUUCUCUCUGAUAAACAAUGGUUUGGGUUUGGUGUUUUGGUUUUGUUUUCUUUUUUAAAAAAUUUGCUGUGUGUGUGUGUGUGUGUGUGUGUGUGUGUGUGUGUGUGUGUGUGUGUGUUUGAUCUGAACAUAUGCAUGUGUGCCAUGUGAGUGUAAUGCCUGCAGAUGCUAGCAAGCAAGUGACAGCUCAUGCUGGAGAGGAUGUAAAGCAAGGGGAACACUCCUCCACUGCUGGUGGGAGUGCUAACUUGUACAGCCACUUUGGAAAUCAAUAUGGCAGUUUCUCAAAAAAAAUUGGCAAUCUAUCUACCUCAAGACCCAGCUAUACCACUUUUGGGCAUAUACCCAAAGGAUGUUCCACCAUACCACAAGGACACUUGCUCAACUAUGUUCAUAGCAGAUUUAUUUGUAAUAGUUAGGAACUGGAAACAACCUAGAUGUUCCUUGAAUGAAGAAUGGAUAAAGAAAUUGUGGUACAUUUACACAAUGAAGUAUUACUCGACUAUAAAAAAACAACAUUAGGAAAUUUGCUGCCAAAUGGGUGGAACUAAAAAAGAUCGGGUAAGCCAGACUCGGAAAGACAAACAGGUUAUAUACUCAUAAGUGGAUAUUAGUUGUAAACAAAGGAGAAACAUGCUACAACCUAUAGAUCCAGAGAAGCUAAAUAACAAGGAGGGCUCAAGCAAGGAUCAAGAUAAUCUCAUUGUGAAGGAAAAAUAGAAUGGACAUUGCCAAUGGACAGGGGCAUAUGGAGGGAGGAUCAGGUCAGGGAAGAGGAAGGGAGAGAGUAAUGGGAGAGACAACUGGAAUAGGAGAUAUCCCUGGAAUGAUUUAGAAACCUGGAGCAAUAGAAACUCCCAGACGUUUAGAAGGAUGACCUUAACUAAGACACCUAGCAAUGGGAAAUAUGGAGCCUGAACUGGCUAUCUCCUGUAACCAGGCAAGUCUUCUAGUGGAGAGAUUGGGACCCCAACCCAUCUACAAACCUUUCAACCUGUAAUUUGUGCUGCCUAAAAGAUGUGCUGGGGUAAAGAUGGCACAGAAAUUGUAUGAGUGACCAACUGAUGACUGACCCACCUGGAGACCCAUACUCUGAGACGGAGCUCACCCUUGAGGACCAGGACCCAAAGGUGGGAUACUACAGAGAUCUAGGAUAGAACCAAACAUGACUGGCAAAAAGAAAAAAGUCAAUGAAAUACUGGCAAAAAGAAAAAAAGUCAAUGAAAUUAUUCCUAAUGAUAUGCUACUAUUCUCAUAGAUUAGUGCCUAGCCCAACUAUCAUCAGAGAGGCUUCACCCAGCAACUGAUGGGAACAGAUCCAGAGACUCACAGUCAAACAUUAGGCAGAACUUGGAGAAUACUAUGGAAGAGGAGGAAGAAGGAUUGGGGUCAAGGACCCCACAAGAAAACCCAUAAAACCAACUAACCUGGGCUCACAGGGCCUCACAGAGACUGAACCAACAAACAGGGAGCCUGCAUAAAUGUUAGUUAUGUAACAUGGCCUUCUUGUGAGACUCCUAACAGUGGGAGCAGGGGCUAUCUCUGACUCUGAUGCCUGAUUUGGGGACCCAUUCCUCCUACUGGAUUGCAUUAGCCAGAUUUGUAGAAGAGGGGGUGCCUAAUCUCACUGCAACUUGAUAUACCUUGGCUGGCUGAUAUCUAUGGGAGACCAGCUUGUAUCUGAAGAGAAACCAUGGUGAAGUGGAUGGGGGGAGUAGAAGAGAAAUUAGAGAGAGGAAUUGGAAAGAGGAGAGGGAGGAGAAACUUUGGUUGGGA
ensembl:lncRNA